UCCAACAACAAGCUCCACACAGGUGCAGAGCCCAUAUGUGUGAUCAGAAAGAACUCUGACCUGCCAAGUCACCACCUAUGCAUGCAACGGCUAAUCUUCAUUAUUUGCAAUGCAAGAGGAGGAAUCCACAAACUUAAGAGCCCCUUCUUGAGUAUCUGUGAGACAUCCAAAAUGGCAGCUCUAAGAGGUUCAUUUGGGAAGUGAGAAAUGCCAUCCCACUGAUGUUGAGGAGUGGACAACGUAACAACAAACUAUGGAUUCUCAGGGUUUCCAAUUUUUCAUAUCAUUACUUCAAAAGAAAAAAUGUGAAUGCUUCUUCAUGCUGCAGAAACCUGAAUGUAUAAAGAAUAUUUACAACCACACUGUAAAUACCUUUCAUUGUCUUUAAAAUACGGUUCCACAAAAGCUUUCUGUCUGGCUUUAUCUUGUUUGUUUCCAUGGUCUGCAAAUAUAAAUAACAUGACAUAAUAAUGCUGUCCUAUGUGCAUUCAAAAUAUGGCUCUUUAUUUGCUAUUAGUUGUUCUCAAUCUAUGUGGAAUAGGAUCUGAUCACAUGAUUAACAGAACAAUGCACACACAACACUGUGGUGUGUACCAUACACAAUUUCUAUAUUCAUCAUUCAGGUGUGGCUUGUCGGAGAGGAAAACAACCCUCCAAUAACCCUAAAAAAGCCCAUCAGUUCUUGAAGCAUUGUUUCCUCUUCCAAGAACCCAUGCUAUCCAGGUUUGUGAUUGGAUGGUGAUUAUGGGAAUUAUGCCUUGGAUGGCUUAUUAGGAUCAUGCAAAUGGCUUAAUGAAAUAGCAAUAUUAAAAAACUCAUACAUACUCUGUGU